GUCUUUGUUGAGCUGGGAAUCUAAUGCACUCCUGACACAAGAAAAUUGUCUGCUUUCCUGUCAAUACAAACUAAAAUUAUAUCCAUAUAAAAGGUUGGGCACUCCUGCUGCUACUACACUAACUACGCCUACCACUGGGAAACAGGAGUGAGCCAAAUGGUUUCUGCCAAUAGGGAUGUUGUGUUAAUUUUUUUUCUUUAAUGACUAUGAUGGUAGUACCUGAGACAGGCUAACUUUGUAAGGAAAAGAGGUUUAUUUCGUUUACAGUUUCAGAUGCCAAAAGUCCAAACAGCCAGGCAAAGCCUCUUGCCAGGGUUCCCCUUGGUUGCAUCCCUCCAUAGUGGAUGCCAACAUCGGAAUCCAGGAUUGCAGGUGAGAGGAAGGGAUUGAAUCUUGAAAGGGCCAGAGAGGGAUGAAAGCCCCACCAGUCCUUGCAGGUGGCUCAUGGACCUUCCACUGGGCCGGUCUCUUAAAGGUCCCACCACUAUACUGAGGACCAAGCCUCCCUCACAUGAAACUUGGGGGACAAAUCACAUCCAAACCAUAACAGAUGUUAAAGGCAAAAUCAGGUUCUUUCUCCACCUCCCUAACACAUACCCAGAGCCUGAGACUCGGUAAAUAAAAGGUGGUUCAAAAGCCAGAAAAAAAAAUGUAUAUAUAAAUCAACUGAUUCAUUACCUCAGUAGAUUAAUGUGGUAGGUUUUUUAUUGUUGUUCAAUCCCUGUUGUACCAGGGAUUGAACUCAGGGGCACUCAACCACUGAGCCACAUCCCCAGCCCUAUUUUGUAUUUAGAGACAGGGUCUCACUGAGUUGCUUAGCAUCUCACUGUCUCUGAGGCUGGCUUGAACUUGCGAUCCUCCUGCCUCAGCCUCCUCAGCUUUUUAACUGCUACAACUAAAGGACCGGACCGGAACAAUUGUAGUGGCUGGGAUUCCAGGCGUAUGCCACUAUGCCCAGCAUGUUCUUGUGUCUUGCUUAGUUACCUUCUCUCAUUCUCUAAUGAAUUUGAGGUGAUUGGAUUAGGUGUAUUUUAGUAUCUGUGAAUUCUUUGAAAUUGUUAAUUGUUGUGUUUCAUACAAAGACACAGAUUCUCAGUAACCAGACUAUAUUAAUCAGACAUUCCACACCCAAUCAUUUUGAAUCAAUGAAAAAUUUACAGUGUGAUUAUAAAAGCAGAGCAGUUGUAACGGUUUAUCUGCAGCUAAAACUGGAAGGCUUUCUGCUCUAACACAUGACUAUGACUAUUACUAAAGAGGGUGAACUGUGGACAACAAGAACAUGGGAAACAUUCAGUGUGUUUUCUUCAAGUCCCUACAUAUGCAUUUGGAUUUGCCAUUUUAAAUCUUUUUCUUUGAGACUUUUAAAGCACUUCUAUGUAAAAAUACAAAUUAAGAGUUAUACACCUUUGAACUAUUUUCCUUUUUCAUUAAACAUCUAAUUCACCAAUAUAGAAAAAUUCUGAUACGAUUUUCCUAUUUGUGUGAGCUCUAAAGAGGGUGGCUAUGCUUUAUGACGCCUAAAUUAGAUUCGGUCCAAUACCCAAUCAUAAAAGUGUCUCCAUCCAAUCAAUAACAAAAAUGUAUACAUAUUCGCUGCAAUGGUCUGAGUCUAGAUGUAUAUGUGUGCACAUGUUUUCAUACAUGGACACAGCAUAAUUUGGUAGAUUUUGUACCACAGUACUUCCCCCUUAUCCUCCUCUUCCCAAUCCUUCUUUAUCUCCUUCCUGGAUUGGUCUCCCUUCUAUUUUCAUGAGAUGGUGUUUUAGUGAGCUUUUUCACUGCCGCAACUAAAGGACCAGACCAGAACAAUUGUAGAGGAGGAAAGGUUUACUUGAAGACUAAAGGUUUCAGGAGGUCUCCAUCCACAGACAGCAGGCUCCAUUCCUCAGGGCUCAAGGUGAGGCAGAACAUCAUGGCAGAGGUAAGAGGCUCAGGUCAUGAUCAGAAAGCAGACAGACAGUGCACUCUCCAGAUAAAAAAAAAUAUACCCGUAGCCACACCCCAAUGAAUUACUUCCUCUAGUCACACCCCAUCUGCCCCCAGCCACCACUCAAUUAUCCCAUCAGGGAUUGAUCUCCUGAUUAGAUUAUGCUGUGACACAGUCAUUUCUCCUCCAAACCUUCUUGCAUUGUCUCACAUGUGAGCUUUUAGGGGACACCUUAUAUCCAAGCCAUAACAGAUCCCUUUUUAAAAAAUUUCCUCUCUCCACACAUGACAGAAAACAUUUGAGCCUUGACUUUCUGAACCUGGCUCAUUUCACUUAGCAUGAUGUUCUCCAGUUCCAC
rnacentral:lncRNA from 1 species